AUCCUCCCUACUCAGGAUGCUGUGGGUUCCCAAACUCCAGCCUCGGGGAUACGUCACAUGCCCAUGAUGAGAAGUAGAACGUGGUGACCUUUCACGAACAUAGGCAUGGCUGCGGACCCCUCGUCAUCAGGUGCAUAGCAAGUGAAAGCAAGUGUUCACAACAGUGAAAAGUUGAGCGUCGUUUUUCUUAGUGUGACAAGAGUUCGAUGUUAGUGUUUCCAUUGUAUUUUCUUACAGUGUGCCAUUCUGUUAGAUAUUAGCGUUUUCAUUGAUGAGCAAGACAUGCUUAAUGUGUAUUUCGGUUUGUGUAUCCAUGCACCUACCUCAGAAAGCAAGUAUAGUCAGGUAUUCUCUCCAUAGAACAGCACUACCCUCCUCUCUCCCCAGAUGUGACUACUGAGGGCAGAUCUGAGUGUUUAAUUUCCGAUUUUCCCCUCUGCAUUUACACACCAGACACACAAACACACACACACAGACACACACACACACAGACACACCAAGUACCAGUAUAAGCAUCUCCCAUAUGCUUUUCC
rnacentral:lncRNA from 10 species